rnacentral:rRNA from 1 species
GAUGAACGCUGGCGGCAGGCCUAAUACAUGCAAGUCGAGCGAACGGACGAGAAGCUUGCUUCUCUGAUGUUAGCGGCGGACGGGUGAGUAACACGUGGAUAACCUACCUAUAAGACUGGGAUAACUUCGGGAAACCGGAUCUAAUACCGGAUAAUAGUUUGAACCGCAUGGUUCAAAAGUGAAAGACGGUCUUGCUGUCACUUAGAGAUGGAUCCGCGCUGCAUUAGCUAGUUGGUAAGGUAACGGCUUACCAAGGCAACGAUGCAUAGCCGACCUGAGAGGGUGAUCGGCCACACUGGAACUGAGACACGGUCCAGACUCCUACGGGAGGCAGCAGUAGGGAAUAUUCCGCAAUGGGCGAAAGCCUGACGGAGCCACGCCGCGUGAGUGAUGAAGGUCUUCGGAUCGUAAAACUCUGUUAUUAGGGAAGAACAUAUGUGUAAGUAACUGUGCACAUCUUGACGGUACCUAAUCAGAAAGCCACGGCUAACUACGUG